AUGGUCAACCAGAAUCAAACAGAGAAGAAAUCUAGCAAACACCGAACUAAAUAUUACUUUCAAUUCACCAGUAAAUUAACAAAAACUUGCAAAAUAAUGCAAUUAGCCUUCCCGAUUUAGAACCAGAAAAUGAUUCAAGAAAAUUUGAAGCUUUUUUUUAAUGGAAAAUCUUAACCUAACCUUUAUCCUCACUCUGCUUUUGCUCAUCAUUUCUCUCCUGCCCACACCAUUCUCCGAUGGUAAUGGUAAUUCCAAGAACCCAUUUCAAGAAACUCAUUUCAAUCAUUAAUGUGUUGUUAGUUAUGACAAAUGUAGUUAAUUUGUGUAUUUUCUGUAUGCAGGGAUUAAGGUACGGCAUGAGAAAGAUGAGCCGUAUGUGGGAGUGAACAUAAGCACAGACUUGUCAAAUUUGCUUGCACCAACAGAUUUGUUUUCUUUUUUUCAGUUACAAAAGAUAACCCAUGUUAGAUUGUAUGAUGCUGAUGCUAAAAUUCUUAAAGCACUUGCAAAAACUAAGAUUAGGGUCAUUGUUAGUGUGCCCAAUAACCAGCUUCUUCCUAUAGGGUCUUCCAAUGUCACAGUCGCCGCUUGGAUUGACCGCAAUGUGGCGGCGUACUACCCAGAAACGCUCAUCACCGCGGUGGCAGUGGUGAUGAGGCGUUGACUACUAUUCCAAUCUCAGCUCCUUUGCUUAUGCCAGCAAUUGAGUCACUCUCAAGUGUUCUUGUGUCUGCAAAUUUGCAUAACCUAAUCAAGAUUUCGACUCCAAAUGCUGUUUCCGUUGUUCUUGAUCCUUUCCCACCCUCCCAAGCCUUUCUAAUUAGAGUUUGAGCCCUGUCAUUUCCCAAUAUUGCAAUUUUGUUCUAGGACCCAGUCACCUUUGAUGAUGAAUUUAUAUCCUUACCAUGUGUUCAUGGAGAAUAAGGGUAUUGUGCCUUUGGAUAAUUCUUUGUUUAAGCCUUUGACACCCUCUAAAGAAACGGUUGAUUCUAAUACUUUGCUCCACUAUACUAGUAUUCUUGAUGCCAUGAUAGAUUCAGUGUAUUUUUCUAUGAAGAACCUUAAUGUUACUGACGUGGUAGUUCUUAUUACUGAAAUUGGGUGGCCUUCGAAAGGGGAAUGGAAGGAACCUUAUGCUACCAUUGACAAAUGCAGACACUUACAAUUCGAAUUUGAUUAAGUGCGUUUUCUAUCAUAGUGGAACGCCAUUGCAUCCUGAAGUUACUUCUAGCUUGUAUGUAUUCGAGUUGUUUAAUGAGGAUUUGAGGUCUUCUCCUGUGUCUGAGGCAAGCUGGGGACUGUUCUAUGGGAAUUCGACCCAUGUUUACUUGCUUCGCGUGUCGGGCAGUGGUACUUUUUUGGCCAGUGACACCACACAUCAAACCUAUUGCAUAGCCAUGGAUGACAUUGAUACAAAAACAUUGCAGGCUGCUUUGUAUUGGGCAUGUGGAGCAGGGAGGGCAAAUUGCUCGGAGAUUCAGCCUGGAGAGUUGUUACCAGCCUAAUAACGUGAAGAACCACGCUUCUUGUGCCUUCAAUAGUUAUUACCAAAAGGAAGGGAAUUCUCCCGGUUCUUGUGAUUUCAAGGGUGUGGCCAUGAUCACUACCACAGAUCCAAGUAAGUGAUUCACUUGACAACAAUGGAUUCCAGCCCCGGCACAUUGAUUGUAUGUUUGAAACUUUGAAUUUUCUGGUGAAAAGACACAAAAGAAAUUUCUAUUUAAAUGUUUGGUUGUUAAGUAUACUGUUAGAUAUAAUGUUGAGUGUUAAGCUAUGAUUAAUUGUUUACUUGUCUUCUAGAAAUAUGGGAGUUCUAUGAGAAGAGAAGGUUCCUUCACUGUUUGUCAGGUAAGGUGGAUGGGAUAAGAUUAGAUCUUGUUAAAAAGAAGAAACUAAAAUCUUGAAGUAUUGCCAGUCAUGUCUUAUAAUAUAUAUCGAACACGCCUUCAGUUUAUUUUUAUUUUUGAGGAUACUAUAUGGCAAUGAGAAUUUCGAUAUAUCUUUUCAAUGCUGUACCACACUAGGCAACAAUUCACGGGCUAGUAAAUCGAAAAUCUGGGCAGUACCACAUAAGCAAACCAUCCCAUUUCAAAUUGGAUGGUGGAAAGAACACUAGCGGUUUGUUUGCAGAUUAUAAUUUUCCAUCGAAAAAGUCCAAUUCUAAUUCUACGUUGUCUUGCAAUAGAAGGCACCGUCUUACUAGAAAAUUUUUACUUGUGCAUUAUAAACUAAAAUUUGUAGUCGAGCCAUCCACGGCUCCAAUUAUUUCAUAUUCAUGCUGCAGUUAUUUAUGAUCUCUAAGUAUACCCUUUUGCUCUUGGGAAAUUUGCAGGUCAUGGCAGUUGUAAAGGUAAGCAUAAUUACUGUACUUUGAAUCUAAUUACCUCAUCCGUUCUCUCGACAUACAACAAACAUUUGAUGAUUGAUGCAGUAACAAGGCCAGAAGUAAUAAGAGGAGCCAGGCAGUGAACACAACGGAAGCAAGUAGUGCAGGGACAAUGAGAUUGAUUGGCUUCCAUGGCACUAGAAUGAGCGUAUACCUACUCUCUGGUGCGGCAUUUUGUUUGAUAUAGUAUUCCUUCGUUCCAAAAUUAAAUGUAAAGGUACGAAUAAUUGUUAAAAGCUUUUGUUUAGGCUGGACUCGUAACUUUUCG
rnacentral:lncRNA from 1 species